UACGAAGGGGGCUAGCGUUGCUCGGAAUCACUGGGCGUAAAGCGCACGUAGGCGGAAUUGUAAGUCAGGGGUGAAAUCCCGGGGCUCAACCUCGGAACUGCCUUUGAUACUGCGAUUCUUGAGUUCGAUAGAGGUGGGUGGAAUUCCUAGUGUAGAGGUGAAAUUCGUAGAUAUUAGGAAGAACACCGGUGGCGAAGGCGGCCCACUGGAUCGACACUGACGCUGAGGUGCGAAAGCUAGGGGAGCAAACGGG
rnacentral:rRNA from 1 species